UCAGAAGGGGAUAACACUUGGAAACAGGUGCUAAUACCGUAUAACAAUCGAAACCGCAUGGUUUUGAUUUGAAAGGCGCUUUCGGGUGUCGCUGAUGGAUGGACCCGCGGUGCAUUAGCUAGUUGGUGAGGUAACGGCUCCACCCCAAGGCCACGAUGGCAUAGCCGACCUCGAGAGGGUGAUCGGCCACAUUGGGAACUGAGACACGGCCCAAACUCCUACGGGAGGCAGCAGUAGGGAAUCUUCGGCAAUGGACGAAAGUCUGACCGAGCAACGCCGCGUGAGUGAAGAAGGAUUUUUCGGAUCGUAAAACUCUGUUGUUAGAGAAGAACAAGGGAUGAGAGUAACUGUUCAUCCCUUGACGGUAUCUAACCAGAAAGGCCACGGCUAACUACGUGCCAGCAGCCGCGGUAAUACGUAGGUGGCAAGCGUUGUCCGGAUUUAUUGGGCGUAAAGCGAGCGCAGGCGGUUUCUUAAGUCUGAUGUGAAAGCCCCCGGCUCAACCGGGGAGGGUCAUUGGAAACUGGGAGACUUGAGUGCAGAAGAGGAGAGUGGAAUUCCAUGUGUAGCGGUGAAAUGCGUAGAUAUAUGGAGGAACACCAGUGGCGAAGGCGGCUCUCUGGUCUGUAACUGACGCUGAGGCUCGAAAGCGUGGGGAGCAAACAGGAUUAGAUACCCUGGUAGUCCACGCCGUAAACGAUGAGUGCUAAGUGUUGGAGGGUUUCCGCCCUUCAGUGCUGCAGCUAACGCAUUAAGCACUCCGCCUGGGGAGUACGACCGCAAGGUUGAAACUCAAAGGAAUUGACGGGGGCCCGCACAAGCGGUGGAGCAUGUGGUUUAAUUCGAAGCAACGCGAAGAACCUUACCAGGUCUUGACAUCCUUUGACCACUCUAGAGAUAGAGCUUCCCCUUCGGGGGCAAAGUGACAGGUGGUGCAUGRUUGUCGUCAGCUCGUGUCGUGAGAUGUUGGGUUAAGUCCCGCAACGAGCGCAACCCUUAUUGUUAGUUGCCAUCAUUCAGUUGGGCACUCUAGCAAGACUGCCGGUGACAAACCGGAGGAAGGUGGGGAUGACGUCAAAUCAUCAUGCCCCUUAUGACCUGGGCUACACACGUGCUUACAAUGGGAAGUUACAACGAGUUUGGCGAAGUCGCGAGGCUAAGCUAAUCUCUUAAAGCUUCUCUCAGUUCGGAUUGCAGGCUGCAACUCGCCUGCAUGAAGCCGGAAUCGCUAGUAAUCGCGGAUCAGCACGCCGCGGUGAAUACGUUCCCGGGCCUUGUACACACCGCCCGUCACACCACGAGAGUUUGUAACAC
rnacentral:rRNA from 1 species